AGAGUUUGAUCCUGGCUCAGGAUGAACGCUAGCUACAGGCUUAACACAUGCAAGUCGAGGGGAAACGAUAUUGGAAGCUUGCUUCCGAUAGGCGUCGACCGGCGCACGGGUGAGUAACGCGUAUCCAACCUGCCCACCACUUGGGGAUAACCUUGCGAAAGUAAGACUAAUACCCAAUGACGUCUCUAGAAGACAUCUGAAGGAGAUUAAAGAUUUAUCGGUGAUGGAUGGGGAUGCGUCUGAUUAGCUUGUUGGCGGGGUAACGGCCCACCAAGGCAACGAUCAGUAGGGGUUCUGAGAGGAAGGUCCCCCACAUUGGAACUGAGACACGGUCCAAACUCCUACGGGAGGCAGCAGUGAGGAAUAUUGGUCAAUGGGCGAGAGCCUGAACCAGCCAAGUAGCGUGCAGGAAGACGGCCCUAUGGGUUGUAAACUGCUUUUAUAAGGGAAUAAAGUGAGAGUCGUGACUCUUUUUGCAUGUACCUUAUGAAUAAGGACCGGCCAAUUCCGUGCCAGCAGCCGCGGUAAUACGGAAGGUCCGGGCGUUAUCCGGAUUUAUUGGGUUUAAAGGGAGCGUAGGCCGGAGAUUAAGCGUGUUGUGAAAUGUAGACGCUCAACGUCUGCACUGCAGCGCGAACUGGUUUCCUUGAGUACGCACAAAGUGGGCGGAAUUCGUGGUGUAGCGGUGAAAUGCUUAGAUAUCACGAAGAACUCCGAUUGCGAAGGCAGCUCACUGGAGCGCAACUGACGCUGAAGCUCGAAAGUGCGGGUAUCGAACAGGAUUAGAUACCCUGGUAGUCCGCACGGUAAACGAUGGAUGCCCGCUGUUGGUCUGAACAGGUCAGCGGCCAAGCGAAAGCAUUAAGCAUCCCACCUGGGGAGUACGCCGGCAACGGUGAAACUCAAAGGAAUUGACGGGGGCCCGCACAAGCGGAGGAACAUGUGGUUUAAUUCGAUGAUACGCGAGGAACCUUACCCGGGCUUGAAUUGCAGAGGAAGGAUUUGGAGACAAUGACGCCCUUCGGGGUCUCUGUGAAGGUGCUGCAUGGUUGUCGUCAGCUCGUGCCGUGAGGUGUCGGCUUAAGUGCCAUAACGAGCGCAACCCCUCUCCUUAGUUGCCAUCAGGUUAAGCUGGGCACUCUGGGGACACUGCCACCGUAAGGUGUGAGGAAGGUGGGGAUGACGUCAAAUCAGCACGGCCCUUACGUCCGGGGCUACACACG
rnacentral:rRNA from 1 species